rnacentral:rRNA from 1 species
UACAGAGGUCUCAAGCGUUGUUCGGAUUCAUUGGGCGUAAAGGGUGCGUAGGUGGCGAGGCAAGUCUGAUGUGAAAAUCCCCGGGGCUCAACCCCGGAACUGCAUUGGAUACUGCCCCUGCUUGAGCACUGGAGAGGAGACUGGAAUUUACGGUGUAGCAGUGAAAUGCGUAGAUAUCGUAAGGAAGACCAGUGGCGAAAGGCGAGUCUCUGGACAGUUGCUGACACUGAGGCACGAAAGGCUAGGGGAGCAAACGGGAUAGAA